CACGAACGCUUGCGGCAUGCCUAACACAUGCAAGUCGAACGGAGAUUAUCUCGGUAAUCUUAGUGGCGAACGGGUGAGUAACGCGUGGGCAACCUACCCUCUAGAUGGGGACAACAUCCCGAAAGGGGUGCUAAUACCGAAUGUGACAGCAAUCUCGCAUGAGGAUGCUGUGAAAGAUGGCCUCUAUUUAUAAGCUAUCGAUAGAGGAUGGGCCUGCGUCUGAUUAGCUAGUUGGUGGGGUAACGGCCUACCAAGGCGAUGAUCAGUAGCCGGUCUGGGCAGACGACCGGCCACGUUAGGACUGCUACACGACCCAGACUCUGACGGGAGGCAGCAGUGGGGAAUCUUCCGCAAUGGGCGAAAGCCUGACGGAGCAAUGCCGCGUGAGUGAUGAAGGGAUUCGUUCCGUAAAGCUCUUUUGUUUAUGACGAAUGUGCAGAUUGUGAACAAUGAUUUGUAAUGACGGUAGUAAACGAAUAAGCCACGGCUAACUACGUGCCAGCCGCCGCAGUAAGAC
rnacentral:rRNA from 1 species